AUUCUCCACAAUAAAAGGUGGGUAUCAUCCACAAAACGGUGUGGGCAUCAUCCACGAUACAGUGUGGGCAUCAUCCAAAAAACAGGGUGGGGAUUCUUCACAUUACAGUGUGGGCAUCAUCCACAAUUCACGGUGGGCAUCCUCAUAAAUACAGUGUGGGCAUCCUCUACAAUUCACGGUGGGCAUCCUCUACAAUUCACGGUGGGCAUCCUCUACAAUUCACGGUGGGCAUCCUCUACAAUCAGGGCAUCCUCCACAAUACAGUGUGGGCAUCCUCCACAAUUCAAGGUGGGAAUUCUCCACAAUAAAAGGUGGGUAUCAUCCACAAAACGGUGUGGGCAUCAUCCACAAUACAGUGUGGGCAUCAUCCAAAAAACAGGGUGGGGAUUCUUCACAUUACAGUGUGGGCAUUAUCCACAAUUCACGGUGGGCACCCUUCACAAUACAGUGUGGGCAUCAUCCACAAUUCACGGUGGGAAUUCUCCACAAUAAAGGGUGGGCAUCAUCAAAAAAAAACAGGGUAGGAAUUCUUCACAUUACAGUGUGGGCAUCAUCCACAAUUCACGAUGGGCCUCCCCCACGAUAAAGGGUGGGCAUCAUCCAAAAAACAGGGUGGGGAUUCUUCACAUUACAGUGUGGGCAUCAUCCACAAUUCACGGUGGACAUCCUCCACAAUACAGUGUGGGUAUGAUCCAAAAUAAAGUGUGGGCAUCAUCCUUAAUUCACGGUGGGAAUUCUCCACGAUAAAGGGUGGGCAUCAUCCAAAAAACAGGGUGGGGAUUCGUCACAUUACAGUGUGGGCAUCAUCUACAAUUCAUGGUGGACAUCCUCCACAAUACAGGGUAGGCAUCCUCCACAAUUCAAGCAUAAGAAGAGAUACUGACAUGACUACUACCAAACUUCUGAAGCAGAGCAAUGAAGAUGAUGAGAAGGAGAGGACCCAAAAUGGAGCCCUGGGGAACAACCGACUUGCCAUCAUGUAUGUCACUAAGGGAUCCCUUGACCCUAACAGUUUGCUUCCCAUCAUGAAUGAAGCUUCGUAUCCAUUUGAGAACCUUUCCUUGGAUCCCAAUGUCAUUAGGGCUAUUCAACAAAAGGCCAUUAUCUACUUUAUCAAAGGCUUUGGGGAAAAAAUCCAUUGUUCUUCCAUGAAGCAAUAAACCCUAAGUUGUUCCUUAUGAUUUUGCAAGCUAGAAGAGGCCAAGAUGUCAUUGGGUCAAAAUUUUCAAGGGCAAUCUUUAAGCAGCAUUUCAACCAUUGUGUGUUGUGAUAGCGUGCAUUGAGUUGAUUUGUAUAAACAUUUCGGAACCAACAAAUAUGUUAUGAAUCCACAGGGUAAGCCCACAGGUUAAGCAAUAAAAAUGUAUUUGCAUAUUUUUUAACUUACAUAUUACCAGUCUGUGUACAAAUUGAUUACAGGUUUCCACCACGAAGACUCCAAGGUGGUUCAAUCAAUUUUCUUUGAAUUUCUGCGACUUUUCCCCCUUCUUUUGACACCCCUACUUAAUUGGUGCAUUUUUUUUCAGAUUAUUGUAUUACCAUUUCUUCAAUCUUCAAGCAUUUUGUUCCCUUGGUUCUUGAAUGUUCCCUUAACAAGCCAUACAAGCCCAAACUGUCCAAUUAUGAUAAAACCUUCAUCCAUGCAGUUUUCUACUCGUCUGAAUAUCGUCACCCAAGGCGAAGUCAUUCGGGAAAACAACGCCCCUGUAUAAUAUCAUUCUGAUUCUUAUUCCCUAAGCUUUUGGUCUUAUUUUAUUUUCAGUCGUUGAGAUUACUUAUUUUAAUGAAGUUGUUCCAUUCA